GACGAACGCUGGCGGCGUGCUUAACACAUGCCAGUCGAACGGAAAGGCCCUGCUUUUGUGGGGUGCUCGAGUGGCGAACGGGUGAGUAACACGUGAGUAACCUGCCCUUGACUUUGGGAUAACUUCAGGAAACUGGGGCUAAUACCGGAUAGGAGCUCCUGCUGCAUGGGGGGGGUUGGAAAGUUCCGGCGGUUGGGGAUGGAUUCGCGGCUUAUCAGCUAGAUGGGGGGGUAGUGGCUUACCAAGGUUUUGACGGGUAGGCCGCAUGGGAGGGUGGCCGGCCACCAUGGGCCUACGGUACGGCGCAGUAGCCUACGGGCGGCAACAGUGGGGAAUAUUGCGGAAUGGGGCGGAGCCUGAUGCGGCGACCCCGCGUUCGGGAAGACGGCCUUUUGGGUGUAAACCGCUUUCGCCUUUGACGAAGCGUGAGUGACGGUAAUUGGUCAAGAAGCACCGGCUAACUACGUG
rnacentral:rRNA from 1 species